GACUUAUAAAGCCUGUUCUGAACGUCGUAUUUUACAUGCGCCGAAUGCAUUCAAAACAAUGGAUAAUGAGGCAUUACAUUGUUUUGAAUGCAUUCAGCACAUCUAAAAUGCGACGUUUAGAACAGGCCUAAAAC